rnacentral:rRNA from 1 species
UACGAAGGAGGCUAGCGUUGUUCGGAUUUACUGGGCGUAAAGCGCACGUAGGCGGCUAUUCAAGUCAGAGGUGAAAGCCCGGGGCUCAACCCCGGAACUGCCUUUGAAACUAGAUAGCUUGAAUCACGGAGAGGUGGGUGGAAUUCCGAGUGUAGAGGUGAAAUUCGUAGAUAUUCGGAAGAACACCAGUGGCGAAGGCGGCCCACUGGACGUGUAUUGACGCUGAGGUGCGAAAGCGUGGGGAGCAAACAGG